rnacentral:rRNA from 1 species
GUGGGGAAUAUUGGACAAUGGGCGAAAGCCUGAUCCAGCCAUGCCGCGUGUGUGAAGAAGGUCUUCGGAUUGUAAAGCACUUUAAGUUGGGAGGAAGGGCAGUAAGUUAAUACCUUGCUGUUUUGACGUUACCGACAGAAUAAGCACCGGCUAACUUCGUGCCAGCAGCCGCGGUAAUACGAAGGGUGCAAGCGUUAAUCGGAAUUACUGGGCGUAAAGCGCGCGUAGGUGGUUUUGUAAGUUGGAGGUGAAAUCCCCGGGCUCAACCUGGGAACUGCCUCCAAAACUGCAUGACUAGAGUACGGUAGAGGGUAGUGGAAUUUCCUGUGUAGCGGUGAAAUGUGUAGAUAUAGGAAGGAACACCAGUGGCGAAGGCGACUACCUGGACUGAUACUGACACUGAGGUGCGAAAGCGUGGGGAGCAAACAGGAUUAGAUACCCUUGUAGUCC